AGUGAACGCUGGCGGUAGGCCUAACACAUGCAAGUCGAACGGCAGCACAGUAAGAGCUUGCUCUUACGGGUGGCGAGUGGCGGACGGGUGAGGAAUACAUCGGAAUCUACUUUUUCGUGGGGGAUAACGUAGGGAAACUUACGCUAAUACCGCAUACGACCUACGGGUGAAAGCAGGGGAUCUUCGGACCUUGCGCGAUUGAAUGAGCCGAUGUCGGAUUAGCUAGUUGGCGGGGUAAAGGCCCACCAAGGCGACGAUCCGUAGCUGGUCUGAGAGGAUGAUCAGCCAAACUGGAACUGAGAAACGGUCCAGACUCCUACGGGAGGCAGCAGUGGGGAAUUUGGGACAAUGGGCGAAAGCCUGAUCCAGCCAUACCGCGUGGGUGAAGAAGGCCUUCGGGUUGUAAAGCCCUUUUGUUGGGAAAGAAAAGCAGCAGGUUAAUACCCCGCUGUUCUGACGGUACCCAAAGAAUAAGCACCGGCUAACUUCGU
rnacentral:rRNA from 1 species